CAGUCGCCGCGGUAAUACGAAGGGGGCUAGCGUUGUUCGGAAUUACUGGGCGUAAAGCGCACGUAGGCGGACAUUUAAGUCAGGGGUGAAAUCCCGGGGCUCAACCCCGGAACUGCCUUUGAUACUGGGUGUCUAGAGUAUGGAAGAGGUGAGUGGAAUUCCGAGUGUAGAGGUGAAAUUCGUAGAUAUUCGGAGGAACACCAGUGGCAAAGGCGGCUCACUGGUCCAUUACUGACGCUGAGGUGCGAAAGCGUGGGGAGCAAACAGGAUUAGAUACCCCAGUAGUCCCUGUCUCUUAUAC
rnacentral:rRNA from 1 species